rnacentral:rRNA from 1 species
UACGUAGGGUGCAAGCGUUGUCCGGAAUUAUUGGGCGUAAAGAGCUCGUCGGCGGUUUGUCGCGUCGAAUGUGAAAACCCGGGGCUCAACCCCGGGCCUGCAUUCGAUACGGGCAGACUAGAGUUCGGUAGGGGAGUCUGGAAUUCCUGGUGUAGCGGUGAAAUGCGCAGAUAUCAGGAGGAACACCGGUGGCGAAGGCGGGACUCUGGGCCGAUACUGACGCUGAGGAGCGAAAGCGUGGGGAGCAAACAGG